AACUCUCUUGAUAUUAAUAUACUAAUGAAUAGUUAAAAAUCUCAAACUAUUGUCUCUUUUCUCUUGUUAGCAGUGCCGUACUUUCUCUAGACACACGUCUGUUUAGCAGUUACGCCUACUUAAACACACACACACACACACAGGCUCUCUUACACGCACUUGCCAUGUCUGACCCCCAGGUCACGCUGAAGUGACUUUGUGCCCUGUUUGUAACUGGGCCUCUUUGAAAGCGGGCCUCGCAUUCCUGCUCCGUCGGACGGGGGAUGUCCUGCUUAUUCCCAGCGAGUAGGAAGUUUCUGCCAUUAGGGAUUAUGUGCCGUUUCCUCACCCAGAAGCUUUCGGCUUGUCCCCUCCCACUCUUGAAAAAGCAGCGACUUCAGAAACUAGAAAACGGUACAAAUUAAAUACCUGCCUCUCUGUCCACCAGCCUCAGCCUUUUAGCCCCGCUCGUCUGCGCUUGUGCGAUUGCUGGGAGGAGGCAGCCGUGUUCUGUCCGCUUUUGUGUGGUUGUACAGAAGUGCUGCGGUUGGGAGGAGGAGGAGGAGGUGGAGGGGAACAGCUGCUCCCCACACAGAAGCCGGUUUCCCAGCCUGACAGGCAGCGAGAGGCAGCCAGUGCCGGGGCUGUUUUCCCGGGGGCCCUCGGGUUGGUUCGCCAGCCUCCGCAGCUAGGAGGGGAAUUUUUAUGGCGGUGACGAAAAUACAAAAUGGACCAGAGCAAGUAGGAUUCUUUCCUUCACAAGGCCAGGCGCUCGUGUUCUCCCACAAAAAUCAGGAGUAGAUAUGGAUACGUCUCCAGUGAAACUUGACCAGGUUUCUCUCAGCCGAUGGGACUCCAGUGGAACCCGCGGCUGCUCUGAGCGUCUUCCUCCAGUCAGAGCUUUUAACCCGUCGGAUGGCGGUUAGCGGUGGCCGCAGGUGCUCCCUUUACCUGCAUGAAAAACUGUGUAUAGAAGGAAGAUGUUAUUUUCAGCUUGCAGGUAACUUGCAGGUUCACUUGAUAUAGUUAUGCACAUUCUUACUAUUUACUAGGAUAUGUCAUAAAAAAAUACCAUUAUACAAAACAUAUAAUUACUAAUUUUAAUAUAUAUAUAUAUAUAUAUAUAUAUAUAUAUAUAUGUAUAUAUAUAUAUGUAUGUAUGUAUGUAUACUGUAUAUAUAUAAUAUUUGUUUCUUGUCAAUUUAUGCAGUAAGUUUAUCUUGUUUUAAAGAUGUUUAGAUAUUUUUACUGCAAAACAAAACAAAUAUACUGAUUAAAAAUGUAUAUUUCUAUAUUCUGUGCAAUGAAGCAGUGUGUGUGUAUAAGUUUGCAGUAGAAGUUUCAGCAGGCGAGUCUGACACACAAAUACACUCCCGCAUUAAAAGAGGCGGAGAACAGAGACAGAUCCCUUGACCUUCUGUUUUCACAUACUGUCACUGUCUAGUGACACACACACUCAGAUCACAAAUGCCCAUUAGUCUUUUUAUCCCUUGCAUAUCUGUAUAUUUAAAUGCUGUAAAUGUUUAAGACUUUCUAAUAAAUUGUUUAUAUUAUUGUAUUAAUUCUUGUCUCAUUUUUGGUAUAUCUCUCUUCUCACACAUGAAAUCAUUAACCUAACACACUUUUUAGUACUCCCUCCAUAUGUGUAAGUGCAAUAUUUUCACAAAUUAAGAAAACAAUCACAAAGAAACCUGGAUGUAGUUUGCUGUUCUGUGUUCCAUGUUAAAGGUUGUAGCAGCAGCAUCACAGCAUUAGUUACAUGUGUGAAAGUGUGUGCGUAAAACCUUGCUUGCUUUGGGAAGUGUGUGUGCGACCCUGUGUGCUUGCAGACGUGAGUAUGUGUGUGUGUGUGUGUGUGUCUUUACCCAUAGAGCGGCCAGCCAGGCUGCAGAUAUCAUCCAUCUCCUUGUCACAAAGCGCCAGGGUUGCUGGGUAGGCAGCAGACAGCCGCUCGGCGCUGAGGAUGGGAGCUGAAUCCUAAUUCCGCCACUGCUCUCCCCCGCCUCCCACGACGGAAAAUCGUUAACCUCAGGAUUGGAGAACAAAGCAGAGAGCUUUAGCCAGCUAGCUGCUGUUAACGCAAAACGCCCCAACCACAUAUUAAACAAGUCUCCGAGAGACAUGCUGAAAUCAUGUAUGUUCAGAUUUAAAGCCUUCAGACCUGCUGUGGUUUUUGAAGAGUAUAGCUCUUCUUCAAAACCCAGUGAGCUGCCUACAUAGUCAGCUGUCUUUUAAGACAACAGUGGAAUCUCAUAAGUGACUGAUUUGAAACAUAAGGUAUGUUCAAGUCAAGUUCAUAUUUAUGAAUUGGGAAGUCAUCAGGUUUCGACAUCAGGUCAUUUGUUCAGAGCCAAAAAAAGAACCAACAAAAAAAACUUUUAAACUCUACUUUUACAAAAUGGUGAAUAAAGAAUGUGCAUGUUUUUGCUG
ensembl:lncRNA